GUCUACAGCCAUGCCAUCCUGAACAAGCCCAAUUCCAUCUGAUCUCAGAAGCUAAACAGGGUCGGGCCUGGUUAAUGCUUGGAUGGAAGACCAGCUAGGGAGACCAGGUGCUGUAGGCA
rnacentral:rRNA from 1 species